rnacentral:rRNA from 1 species
AUUGAACGCUGGCGGCAGGCUUAACACAUGCAAGUCGAGCGGAGAUGAGGUGCUUGCACCUUAUCUUAGCGGCGGACGGGUGAGUAAUGCUUAGGAAUCCGCCUAUUAGUGGGGGACAACAUUCCGAAAGGAAUGCUAAUACCGCAUACGUCCUACGGGAGAAAGCAGGGGAUCUUCGGACCUUGCGCUAAUAGAUGAGCCUAAGUCGGAUUAGCUAGUUGGUGGGGUAAAGGCCUACCAAGGCGACGAUCUGUAGCGGGUCUGAGAGGAUGAUCCGCCACACUGGGACUGAGACACGGCCCAGACUCCUACGGGAGGCAGCAGUGGGGAAUAUUGGACAAUGGGGGAAACCCUGAUCCAGCCAUGCCGCGUGUGUGAAGAAGGCCUUAUGGUUGUAAAGCACUUUAAGCGAGGAGGAGGCUACUGAGACUAAUACUCUUGGAUAGUGGACGUUACUCGCAGAAUAAGCACCGGCUAACUCUGUGCCAGCCGCCACGGUAA